UACGUAGGGACCAAGCGUUGUUCGGAUUUACUGGGCGUAAAGGGCGCGUAGGCGGCGUGUUAAGUCAGCUGUGAAAUCUCCAAGCUUAACUUGGAACGGUCAGCUGAUACUGAUGUGCUAGAGUGCAGAAGGGGCAAUCGGAAUUCUUGGUGUAGCGGUGAAAUGCGUAGAUAUCAAGAGGAACACCUGAGGUGAAGACGGGUUGCUGGGCUGACACUGACGCUGAGGCGCGAAGCUAGGGGUAGCAAACGGG
rnacentral:rRNA from 1 species